rnacentral:rRNA from 1 species
UACGAAGGGGGCUAGCGUUGGUCGGAAUUACUUGGCGUAAAGCGUAUGCAGGCGGAUCGUUAAGUCGGGGGUGAAAUCCCGAGGCUCAACCUCGGAACUGCCUUCGAUACUGGCGAUCUUGAGUCCGGGAGAGGUGAGUGGAACUCCGAGUGUAGAGGUGAAAUUCGUAGAUAUUCGGAAGAACACCAGUGGCGAAGGCGGCUCACUGGCCCGGUACUGACGCUGAGGAGCGAAAGCGUGGGUAGCAAACAGG